UGCGCAGGUGGCCAAGUGUGUGAGGCGUGAAAGCCCGUUGCUCAACAGCGGAAUUGCACCUCAAACUACAUGGCUAGAGCAUUGGAGAGGGUAGCAGAAUUCACGGUGUAGCAGUGAAAUGCGUAGAUAUCGUGAGGAAUACCAGAGGCGAAGGCGGCUACCUGGACAAUUGCUGACACUCAGGCACGAAAGCGUGGGGAGCAAAAGGGAUUAGAUACCCCUGUAAUCCACGCCCUAAACGGUGCACACUAGGUCUUGGCGGAUUCGACCCCACCAGGGCCCAAGCUAACGCGUUAAGUGUGCCGCCUGAGGACUACGGCCGCAAGGCUAAA
rnacentral:rRNA from 1 species